UCUUAGGAAAACAGUAAUUGUGUUUUCUUUUCCAACUUUCAUAUGCUUUUAAUUCUGAAAAUUGACACCACUUCUUCUCAUUUCCAUUACUUUCUCCAAUCCUAAAGGUGUUGCUUUGUAAUUUUUUCUUUUCUUUCAAUUCAUAAUUUUCAUGCCCCAAAUCUUGAUUAGAGUAUAUUAGUGCUGAAUUUGCAUGUAUUAAUUAUAAACAAAUUAAACAAUGCUAACAAGGUUUUUUAAAAAAAAUCACAAUUUUUAAACCUUUAUUUUAGCCUCUUCUAUAUACUUCAUCAUGUCCACAAGUUUUCAAUAAUUUUUAAAAUACAUUUUUAAUUCUCUCAAAGUUUUUUUUUUUAAAAAAAAAACUUUUUUACAAUUUU
rnacentral:lncRNA from 1 species